rnacentral:rRNA from 1 species
UACGUAGGGUGCAAGCGUUGUCCGGAAUUAUUGGGCGUAAGGAGCUCGUAGGCGGUCUGUCGCGUCGGCUGUGAAAACCCGGAGCUCAACUCCGGGCCUGCAGUCGAUACGGGCAAACUGGAGUGUUGCAGGGGAGACUGGAAUUCCUGGUGUAGCGGUGAAAUGCGCAGAUAUCAGGAGGAACACCGGUGGCGAAGGCGGGUCUCUGGGCAACAACUGACGCUGAGACGCGAAAGCGUGGGGAGCGAACAGG